ensembl:lincRNA D930030I03Rik RIKEN cDNA D930030I03 gene
AUCUGUUUCCCAUCUGUGGGGGAGGAAGGCCUCUUUCUCCGAGGUCCUGUUUUGGCCCAGGUUUUCGAAGCCCUAGCUUUGUUAACCUCUGAGAACUAAGGACUAACGCCCCCACCUUCUCCUCCCAAUGCUCCAGGUUCCCUUUUUGAGCUCUCCAUGGAAGAGUGUGGGAACCUACGGAGGAAGUAGCCAGUAUCUUUUCUCUUUGAAAUUCCUUUUCACCUUGGCACAUGCAUCCAUCCUGGCCCAGGCCCACCCUUCAGAAGUCAUUAUUCCUUAACCCACUCUAAACGGGCACAGGUGACAAAGCCAUCAAACUAUACAAUCAAAGCCGAAGUACACUUCGGGAUUUCCCAUUGGUUUCCUGGCCUGGGUAGAAAGAGGAAUAGGGAGAGGGGAUGAGGGGAGGGGAGGCCGCGAUGCACUCAGGAAAGUCUUGGUGGCCACUUUGAGGACACUGGCCUAGCACCAGUCUGGAGGUGAGAGCGGGACCGAGCGGGUACUAAGGUGGCAAUGGCGGCGUUGAGCCCAGAUGUCAGGUUCCGAGAAUAAACGUGUGCCAGUGAACACUCUCCCCCGUACCCUCGACCCAGCUCGGUACAGCCUCAUCUCCGGAAAGGCACAAAUCGGGCCUUGUGCUUAAAUGGAGUAUCUGCUUCUAUACAGUGACCCUGACGCACAUCAAAGAUCCUGCUUUGACUCCUUAGACUUAAGAUCAGAACAUGUCUGCUCAAAAAUUUCAGACCUACUCCCAAGAACUCACAUCCCCUCUUCUAUGUCUUCAUAACAGAAAAAAAGGAAAGACUUAUCUGGGAAGGAAACUUGAACUGAACAUUUAACAUCUAUUAAUUUUGGCGUUGGUGACUCUAUUCUUGUGUAAAUAAAUCUAUUAAUCACAAUAAUAAAGGAGGUGUUCACGUGG